rnacentral:rRNA from 1 species
UACGAAGGGGGCUAGCGUUGUUCGGAAUUACUGGGCGUAAAGGGCGCGUAGGCGGCCGAUUAAGUCGGAUGUGAAAGCCCCGGGCUCAACCCGGGAAGUGCAUACGAAACUGGUCGGCUUGAAUAUGGAAGAGGGUCGCGGAAUUCCCGGUGUAGAGGUGAAAUUCGUAGAUAUCGGGAGGAACACCAGUGGCGAAGGCGGCGACCUGGGCCAAUAUUGACGCUGAGGUGCGAAAGCGUGGGGAGCAAACAGG